CUCCCCCUCCAUACGAAUGCCGCACAACUCUUCUCUCCUCUUCUCUUCUCUCGUCCUUUUAUUAUUCCCGAGAAAAUCGAACCCAGCUAGACAGUCCACAGCUCUGGCACACAGCUUCGCUCUCCGCCGGUUUCUGCUCAAGUGGAGAGGCCCGUCAGCUCGAUCGGUUCCAGGAUCAUGGACGACGGCGCAACACCGCCGCCCAACCACAAGAGGCACCUCCCACUGCGGGAGGCGGGCGGCGACCUCGUGGAGCUGCUGUGGCAGAACGGAGCCAUCGUAGCGCAGGCGCAGGCGCAGACGCCGCACCGCCGGUGUUCCCAGAGCGGCGCGGCGAGCGGCGUCACCGCGGAGGACGCGACCGCGUGGUUGAUCCCGGACGGCGGCGGCGGCAGGGACCUGUACUCGCACCUCUGGCACGGCGUCGCCGACGGGGAUGCGGGCGCGCUCGUGGCGGGGAGCGGCGGCGCCGGGACGAGCUUCUGCGGGAGCAACGCGGUGACGGCGCCGGCGCUGCUGCCAUCGCCGGGCUCGUCCGCAGCGGGAGGCCAAGCGCUACUGUUCAAGAGGGGGAGGGACCAACUGGAUAGCCGCCGAGAGGACGAACUGGAUACCGACGACUGUGAGGCCGUCAAUGAGACCCGGCCGCAGCGGCCGGCAGCGAAGCGCAGGACUCGUGCUGCCGAGGUCCAUAACCAAUCAGAGCGGAGAAGAAGGGAUCGGAUCAACGAAAAGAUGAAAGCAUUGCAAGAACUCGUACCCCAUUGCAACAAGAGCGACAAGGCGUCCAUUCUAGACGAAGCAAUCGAGUACUUGAAGUCUCUGCAACUGCAAGUUCAGAUCAUGUGGAUGACUACUGGGAUGACGCCCAUGAUGUACCCUGGUGCUCACCAACUCAUGUCGCCGAUGGCCGUGGGCUUGAACUCAGCGUGCAUUCCCACGGCGCAGAGCCUUAGCCAGCUGCAAAAAAGGGUAGCACCGUUUAUGAACAAUCAUCUCCCCGAUCAAAUGCCUCAGGUCCAAUCUCCAGCUAUCGAUUCCCUCGAUGUGGCAAACCAGAUGCAAAACAAUGGUGUCUGUGGUGAGCCAAGAAACCCUUUCCUGCAUCCAGACGACACGCUAACAGCGGCAUCUCAGCUUCCGGGUAUGUUGCCCUAUGCAUCUCAAAAGGCACAACAAAACCAGAAUCAUCAGUUACUGCCUAGCAUAGACAUGCCAGCUUCAGGACCCUGCCCGCCAUCUUUUGCUGACGGAACGGGAAAAUAAGGCCAGGCAGUUUCAAGCAAGAUGAUUUACUGAUUGGCCAUCUAUCUAUAUGAUAAUAUAAGAUGCCAAGGAAACUCAGACAUGUCCUUCACAUCCCUAACGAACGGCCAGAAUAUCACCUGGCAUAUAUAACUCGCAGGGGGGUUGGAUACAGGAGGUCAGAGCAAACUAGUCAUAGAAGAGAAGAGAUAUGGUACCAAGACACUCUGUGCUGUAAGGCCAGGGGCAGAUCAUGCAACAUUGAGCCUUGGUGGCACCACUAAGCAACCAACACGUAUGGGCCCGAGAUCAUGCGGAAUUGCGGAUAGCAGAUACUAUUCUUAUCCGAAGAAUAGUCUUGAGCACCACCUUUCUAUUUAUGGAAGGAUUUGGUCCAUGGGAGAUGAACUUGGGGCUUUGACAGGGACAACAAAAGAUGAUUGUGCCGAUAUGCUGCAGAUCUGGAGAUGACAUUGUUGGAGCCAGGAUCUGCACAAUGACACAACUUGUGCACUUCUGCUCGUCUUUCCACCGAUGUAACUCCACUCCACUGGUGAGUCCUAAUGGGACUGUCCUGUUGACCCGCGGUCGAGCUAUCGAUAUUCGAAUGGACGGCUGAAACAAGGGUAGGCAGAAGAAACUUGUGCUUUUCGGACACAAUUGUAGAUCAGGUUUGCAUAUGCCUUUCAGAAAUUCAGACAAGUGGUACAUGAAGAUCAUUCUCAUUCGGCCAUCAGGAUCGCGAGAUUAUCGCCUUACCCUUAACCCUGGAAAGAUUGUACCGCAUGUGGUGAUGUCCUGUUACAAGUUAAUCAGGACUGUGAUGGGCAUCAUCCGUUUCGUCACAGGGUAAUUAGUCUCUGAAAAUAUCAAUGAUGCUGCAUCUUUUGUUGUGUUAUACUCCAAUUGUGAGUCAGCUUCAGUCGCCGUCAGGGGAGACUGGGACUUUGCUUCGCAUUUACACGUCCAGAUUUGGUUGUCAUGCUCGUAUCAUAGCGAUUGAUGUAGAUGCUUGGCAAUUUGGAGGACAGAUAUUCAUACCAUGAAAAAAAAGAGGACAGAUAUUCAUUCUUUG